rnacentral:tRNA from 1 species
GCGGGCGUGGUGGAGUGGAUCCAUACCGGGCUCAUAAUCCGGAGACGCCGUUCGAAUCGGACGCCCGCC